rnacentral:rRNA from 1 species
UACGGGGGGGGCAAGCGUUGUUCGGAAUUACUGGGCGUAAAGGGCUCGUAGGCGGCCAACUAAGUCGGAUGUGAAAUCCCCAGGCUUAACCUGGGAACUGCAUCCGAUACUGGAUGGCUUGAAUCCGGGAGAGGGAUGCAGAAUUCCAGGUGUAGCGGUGAAAUGCGUAGAGAUCCGGAGGAACCCCAGAGGCGAAGGCGGCGCUCUGGCUCGCAACUGACGCUCAGACACGACAGCAUGGGGAGCGAACGGG